UACGGAGGGUGCAAGCGUUGUUCGGAAUCAUUGGGCGUAAAGCGCGUGUAGGCGGCUUGGCAAGUCGGUUGUGAAAGCCCGGGGCCCAACCCCGGAACUGCAUCUGAAACUGCCUGGCUAGAGUCCCGGAGAGGAGGGCAGAAUUCCCGGUGUAGGGGUGAAAUCCGUAGAUAUCGGGAGGAAUACCAGCGGCGAAGGCGGCCUUCUGGACGGUGACUGACGCUGAGACGCGAAAGCGUGGGGAGCAAACAGG
rnacentral:rRNA from 1 species